ACACAUGCAAGUCGAACGAGAAUCUACUGAAGGAGGAUUCGUCCAACGGAAGUAGAGGAAAGUGGCGGACGGGUGAGUAACGCGUGAGGAACCUGCCUUGAAGAGGGGGACAACAGUUGGAAACGACUGCUAAUACCGCAUGAUGCAUAGGGGUCGCAUGAUCUUUAUGCCAAAGAUCUAUCGCUUCAAGAUGGCCUCGCGUCUGAUUAGCUGGUUGGCGGGGUAACGGCCCACCAAGGCGACGAUCAGUAGCCGGACUGAGAGGUUGAACGGCCACAUUGGGACUGAGAUACGGCCCAGACUCCUACGGGAGGCAGCAGUGGGGAAUAUUGGGCAAUGGGCGCAAGCCUGACCCAGCAACGCCGCGUGAAGGAAGAAGGCUUUCGGGUUGUAAACUUCUUUUAAGAGGGAAGAGCAGAAGACGGUACCUCUAGAAUAAGCCACGGCUAACUACGUGCCAGCAGCCGCGGUAAUACGUAGGUGGCAAGCGUUGUCCGGAUUUACUGGGUGUAAAGGGCGUGCAGCCGGGUCUGCAAGUCAGAUGUGAAAUCCAUGGGCUCAACCCAUGAACUGCAUUUGAAACUGUAGAUCUUGAGUGUCGGAGGGGCAAUCGGAAUUCCUAGUGUAGCGGUGAAAUGCGUAGAUAUUAGGAGGAACACCAGUGGCGAAGGCGGAUUGCUGGACGAUAACUGACGGUGAGGCGCGAAAGUGUGGGGAGCAAACAGGAUUAGAUACCCUGGUAGUCCACACUGUAAACGAUGAAUACUAGGUGUGCGGGGACUGACCCCCUGCGUGCCGCAGUAAACACAAUAAGUAUUCCACCUGGGGAGUACGAUCGCA
rnacentral:rRNA from 1 species